UACGGGGGGGGCAAGCGUUGUUCGGAAUUACUGGGCGUAAAGGGCUCGUAGGCGGCCAACUAAGUCGGACGUGAAAUCCCCAGGCCCAACCUGGGAACUGCGUCCGAUACUGGAUGGCUUGAAUCCGGGAGAGGGAUGCAGAAUUCCAGGUGUAGCGGUGAAAUGCGUAGAUAUCUGGAGGAAUACCGGUGGCGAAGGCGGCAUCCUGGACCGGCAUUGACGCUGAGGAGCGAAAGCCAGGGGAGCAAACGGG
rnacentral:rRNA from 1 species